rnacentral:rRNA from 1 species
GAAUUUGGGCUACACACGUGCUACAAUGGACAAUACAAAGGGCAGCUAAACCGCGAGGUCAUGCAAAUCCCAUAAAGUUGUUCUCAGUUCGGAUUGUAGUCUGCAACUCCGACUACAUGAAGCUGGAAUCGCUAGUAAUCGUAGAUCAGCAUUGCUACGGUGAAUACGUUCCCGGGUCUUGUACACACCGCCCGUCACACCACGAGAGUUUGUAACACCCGAAGCCGGUGGAGUAACCAUCUAUGGAGCUAGCCGUCGAAGGUGGGACAAAUGAUUGGGGUGAAGUCGUAACAAGGUAGCCGUAUCGGAAGGUGCGGUUGGAUCACCUCC